GACGCUAGCUACAGGCUUAACACAUGCAAGUCGAGGGGCAGCAUGCAGGUAGCUUGCUAUCUGUGAUGGCGACCGGCGCACGGGUGAGUAACGCGUAUCCAACCUUCCCCUUAGUAGGGAAUAGCCCGGCGAAAGUCGGAUUAAUGCCCUAUGUUGUAUUUUGAGGACAUCUGACGAAUACCAAAGAUUCAUCGCUAUGGGAUGGGGAUGCGUCUGAUUAGCUUGUUGGCGGGGUAACGGCCCACCAAGGCUACGAUCAGUAGGGGUUCUGAGAGGAAGGUCCCCCACAUUGGUACUGAGACACGGACCAAACUCC
rnacentral:rRNA from 1 species